rnacentral:misc_RNA from 1 species
UUUCUCAACCAGUCCAAGAAAAUCCUUACAGACAAAUUGUAAAACAUCAGAAAAAUGGCAAAAUGUAAUUUUGAGAGAUCAAUAUCAAGUUUGUUUGCAAUCAAACAACACUAGUGCACAACAGCAACACAGUGAAAGACGUGGGAAUAAAUCCUGAUAUAUGCUAUGAAGCAAGAAUGUCUGGAUGAGAACUUGAAACUAAAAGAAGAUGAAAAGAGCUAUAUUCAUCAUGCACCUAAGACAUUUAGGAUCCCAAAGCAAAUUUCAGAAUGCAUUUUCAUUAAUAAGAAAUUCCAACUUUAUUCCAGUAGCUAAGUAUCAAAAGUUGUUCAGCAUGUCUACAAGAUUCCCCAUUCAUUAAUUUUUCAUGCAUCAGUUUUAUCAUCACCGUGUGACAACAAAAUCUAUUAGAUUAUGAUUGCCAGGGAAGAGAAGAGGCUAAAAGGAUAUAUUGGAACGCGUCUUCUAUGCAUUAAUUUACCAGAGGGAACAAAAUAAGUUGAAGAUUUUUCUUUUUUUUGGAUGGAGCGGCACGAGGGGAAGCAACACAAAAAGAAUAAUAGCAUUAUGAAAGAAACUUACUAAAAUUAUCUCAAACUUCUUUU